GACGAACGCUGGCGGCGUGCCUAAUACAUGCAAGUCGAGCGCAGGAAAUCAUCCGAACCCUUCGGGGGGACGUUGAUGGAAUGAGCGGCGGACGGGUGAGUAACACGUAAAGAACCUGCCCUCAGGUCUGGGAUAACCACGAGAAAUCGGGGCUAAUACCGGAUGGGUCAUCGGACCGCAUGGUCCGAGGAUGAAAGGCGCUUCGGCGUCGCCUGGGGAUGGCUUUGCGGUGCAUUAGCUAGUUGGUGUGGUAAUGGCCCACCAAGGCGACGAUGCAUAGCCGGCCUGGGAGGGUGAUCGGCCACACUGGGACUGAGACACGGCCCAGACUCCUACGGGAGGCAGCAGUAGGGAAUCUUCCACAAUGGACGAAAGUCUGAUGGAGCAACGCCGCGUGAACGACGAAGGCCUUCGGGUCGUAAAGUUCUGUUGUAAGGGAAGAACAAGUGCCGCAGGCAAUGGCGGCACCUUGACGGUACCUUGCGAGAAAGCCACGGCUAACUACGUGCCAGCCGCCGCCGUAACAC
rnacentral:rRNA from 1 species